GACAGAGGAUGCAAGCGUUAUCCGGAAUUACUGGGCGUAAAGCGUGCGCAGGCGGUUCGCUGUGUCCGAUGUGAAAGCCCCAGGCUUAACUUGGGAAUGGCAUUGGAAACUGGCGGGCUUGAGUGCGGCAGAGGGGGGUGGAAUUCCGCGUGUAGCAGUGAAAUGCGUAGAGAUGCGGAGGAACACCGAUGGCGAAGGCAGCCCCCUGGGUCGACACUGACGCUCAGGCACGAAAGCGUGGGGAGCAAACAGG
rnacentral:rRNA from 1 species